rnacentral:rRNA from 1 species
AGUGAACGCUGGCGGUAGGCCUAACACAUGCAAGUCGAACGAGUGGCGGACGGGUGAGGAAUACAUCGGAAUCUACUCUGUCGUGGGGGAUAACUUGGGGAAACUUACGCUAAUACCGCAUCCGAUGAAAGGAGCCGAUGUCGGAUUAGCUCGUGGGGGGGGUAAAGGCCACCCAGGGCGACGAUCCGUAGCGGGUCUGAGAGGAUGAUCAGCCACACGGGAACUGAGACACGGUCCAGACUCCUACGGGAGGCAGCAGUGGGGAAUAUUGGACAAUGGGCGCAAGCCUGAUCCAGCCAUACCGCGUGGGUGAAGAAGGCCUUCGGGUUGUAAAGCCCUUUUGUUGGGAAAGCGGUACCCAAAGAAUAAGCACCGGCUAACUUCGUGCCAGCAGCCGCGGUAAUUC